AGACUGUUCCUAGCAUUCAGAGUUUGAUGAUCAGAUAUUAACUCCUGAAAGUGCAUCUGUUCCGUUCACCACCCCAAUUCUUCCCAAAGGCCACAGAUCCUGCUGUGGAAGCACUUCCUUUCCGAAACAUGACAGCCGAUCCCCAGUCCCAGUCCGAACGAAGCCAGCCAUACAUCUGCUGCGAGACUUCUGCACUGCGCUCUUUAAUACGAAUGUGCCAAAUACUUAACUAGGUCUCUCCAUUCUGUAGACACCUUUUGUACACAGAGGAGGACCCUGCAGUUAUAAGAAGGAGAACAUCCUGCUUUCUUUCUUGCCAAGAUCAAUUGCUGUAUCUUUGAUUGAUUUCCAGAAUUUUUAAGGAUGGCAAACCUGUUUCAACUUGUAAAUUAAGCUCUGUCCUUAGCAACCAUGAACUAUUAGUGCAUUGAUUUAUAGUGUUUUCUUAUAUUGAUGAUUUUUUAGCACACUGUUUCUCUUUAGGGAGACUUUUUCUGCAUCAGCACUAUGCAUUUUUAUGAGUUGAAAAAUUAUUCCAUUUCUUGAAAACAAAAGAGCGAAAAACAUAAACAAGGUUUUUUUCUGAAAAAUUGGUUAGGGAAUUAGUACAAGAUAAUGGUGCUAAUGCAUAUCUUGCUGCUGCCUC